rnacentral:rRNA from 1 species
UACGCACGCUGGCGGCGUGCUUAACACAUGCAAGUCGAACGGAAAGGCCUUUUCGGAGGUACUCGAGUGGCGAACGGGUGAGUAACACGUGGGUGAUCUGCCCUGCACUCUGGGAUAAGCCUGGGAAACUGGGUCUAAUACCGGAUAGGACCGCACUUUAGUGUGUGUGGUGGAAAGUUUUUUCGGUGUAGGAUGAGCCCGCGGCCUGUCAGCUUGUUGGUGGGGUAAUGGCCUACCAAGGCGGCGACGGGUAGCCGGACUGAGAGGUUGGUCGGCCACAUGGGGAUGGAAAAGCGGCCCGGCCUCCCGCGGGAGGGAGAAGUGGGGAAUGUUGCACUAUGGGCGGAAGCCUGAUCCAGCGCCGCCGCGGGGGGUGGGGCGGCCUUCGGUUUUUAAACUCUUUUCCCCGGGGAGGAAGCUUUUUUGGGCGGUACCGGGAGAAGAAGCCCCGGCGAAAUACGU